rnacentral:lncRNA from 1 species
CAAAAGAAGGGAAAUAACUAAUUAAUCAUAUCUUGCAUGCUGUUUCAUCCUUGUGAAGGCAGUAUGGCUUAAUGGUCAAGACUGCACAAUCUGAAACUAAACUGCUCGGCUCACCUCAGUUGAGCAUUUUAUUGCCCUGGAAAAGAUUGUGGUUUUGUUGCAAGGAAGAAGAGAAGAAUGACAUUUUUGUGGAGUCUCACACUGUUGCCCAGGCUGGAGUGC